UUGUCUAAAAUGAUUAGGAUG
rnacentral:piRNA from 1 species